rnacentral:ribozyme from 13 species
GAGAAAGAAAUAGAAAAAGAAAGAAAAAGAGAAAGAGAAACCACUUACAAUCCCUCUUCUCUCUCUCCCAUUGUUUGUUUUCUUAUUUUCUCUUCUCUUCUUUC